UCCCUGGAGGACUAAUGGUUAGGCCUCGGCCCUGCCACCGCCGUGGCCCAGGUUCGAUUCCCGGCCAGAGAA
rnacentral:tRNA from 1 species